CCUACGGGAGGCAGCAGUGGGGAAUAUUGGACAAUGGGGGGAACCCUGAUCCAGCGACGCCGCGUGAGUGAAGAAGUAUUUCGGUAUGUACAGCUCUAUCAGCAGGGAAGAAAAUGACGGUACCUGAGUAAGCCGCUCCGGCUAAAUACGUGCCAGCAGCCGCGGUAAUACGUAUGGCGCAAGCGUUAUCCGGAUUUACUGGGCGUAAGGGGAGCGUAGGCGGCCUGCCAAGUCUGCAGUGAAAUACCGGGGCUCAACCCCGGGGCGGCAUUGGACACUGGCAGGCGGGAGUGCCGGAGAGGCAGGCGGAAUUCCUAGUGUAGCGGUGAAAUGCGUAGAUAUUAGGAGGAAAACCAGUGGCGAAGGCGGCCUGCUGGACGGUGACUGACGCUGAGGCUCGAAAGCGUGGGGAGCAAACAGGAGUAGAUACCCCAGUAGUC
rnacentral:rRNA from 1 species